UGGCAGGCGACAGAUGGUGUAGAUCAGAUCGAUUUGAUUGCAUUAGACGAUUUUUUUUCCCUCCUCUCCCCCCCGACUCCUUUUCUGGAAGCCCACAUUCAGCUGAGAGGCGACCGCCGGGGACACGGGAAGCGAGAGCAGCCGCCGAGGUGCGAAUGCAGCGAGCCGCGGCCGUGGAGGCGCCGGGUCCUGCCCGGGUGGAUCCGUGCUAAUCCGGCGCCGGGAGGGAGCAGCUUCUGCCGCCCGGAGCCCGUCCCCAGCGCACGUCAGAUGACUCCCCGGUUUUACACACGGUUGGAGUUCUGCUCGAAACCUGGAUUUAAAGGGAAUCUGUUGCCGUGUGUGACAUCUCUUGCGAGCUCCCAGAGAGAACUGAUGGAGCAUACAGCUAGGGAAUAGGAUGCUGGAGAAGCUCAGGGGGAGACGCCAGGCAAUCACCAGGACGGGGAGGAACGGCGCUCGUUGGAUAUGGGACGAGAUCUCGCAGCCCUUGUGGAUUCUCCUUCCUCUAGAGGGGAAUUAUAGUUAUGGAUUUAUUGUCCCGGUGCAGCACUUCCACCAGCGGCAGCAG
rnacentral:lncRNA from 7 species